ACAGAGGUGGCAAGCGUUGUUCGGAAUUGCUGGGCGUAAAGGGCGCGUAGGCGGCCUUGUAAGUCUCGUGUGAAAGCCCUCGGCUUAACUGAGGAUCUGCACGGGAUACUGCGAGGCUUGAGUUCGGGAGAGGAAAGCGGAAUUCCGGGUGUAGCGGUGAAAUGCGUAGAUAUCCGGAGGAACACUAGUGGCGAAGGCGGCUUUUUGGACCGACACUGACGCUGAGUGCGCGAAAGCUAGGGGAGCAAACGGGA
rnacentral:rRNA from 1 species